GGGGAAUUUUGCGCAAUGGGCGGGAGCCUGACGCAGCAACGCCGCGUGGAGGAUGAAGGUCUUUGGAUUGUAAACUCCUGUCAGCAGGGAAAAAGCAACUAGACCUCAUACGUCUGGGAGUUGAUUGUACCUGCAGAGGAAGCCCCGGCUAACUCCGUGCCAGCAGCCGCGGUCAUACGGAGGGUCCAAGCGUUAUCCGGAAUUACUGGGCGUAAAGAGUUGCGUAGGUGGCAAAGUAAGUUAGUAGUGAAAUCGUGUGGCUCAACCAUGCUCACAUUACUAAAACUGCUUAGCUAGAGGAUGAGAGAGGUCGUUGGAAUUCCCUGUGUAGGAGUGAAAUCCGUAGAUAUAGGGAGGAACACCGAUGGCGUAGGCAGACGACUGGCUCAUUCCUGACACUAAGGCACGAAAGCGUAGGUAGCAAA
rnacentral:rRNA from 1 species